GCCGGGCCCGGGCCCGCCCCCACGCAGCCGGCUCUCGGCCAAUGAGCGCGCAGGGCCGCGGCGAUCGCCAAGUAUGGAGCGCGGCGCGGGGGGGAGGAGCGCCGAAGGGGGAAGUGAGGGGCGGGGCCUGCGAGCGGGGCGGAGCUGGGCGCGGCGGCUGGCGGGGUGGGCGGGUCCGUCCGAGGCGCGGGGACCCGGCCGGGGGGGCUGUCAGGGGGUUUCCGCCCGCACCCACGCCCUAAGUCGCACUCGGUGGCUACCGAGGCGGGGGUGGCGGAGCGACAGUGCGCGCGGGCCUCCGGGGCGGGGACGAGGAGGGCCCUGGGACCGGGAGGGGUCAGGCCCGGCCCUGCCCUCCCCUCCCGGUGCACCCGCUGUCUCCCGCGCGGACCCGGAACUGGUGUUGCGGCGGGCCGGUCGGUCCCGGGGAGAGCGUCCGAGCGAUCCCGAGGUGUGAUCGCAGCGCCACCACUUGCUACGUGGGGACCUGGAUCAAGUCGCUGCACCUGAGCCGAAUCUCUUAAAAAAAAAAAAAAAAAAAAAAGGAGCCCUAGGCCACGCCAUUCAUUGGGCGCCCACUGUAUACCAGGCCCUGUUGGGGGCACCGAAAGAGAGUUGCACUCGACGUGAAGAUGCCCUCAGAGCUACCUGCCGCAGGUAGCUGUGAGGACCCCGCAGGUAGAGAUUAGAAAACUGGACUCAGGAAAUGUUAGGCGUUUACGACUGUUUUUAAAUGUGCUACAGAGAACCAGCCCAGUCGCCCAGUGGGGUUGCCUCACUCCACAGAGUGACUCAGAAAGUUUUUUUUUUCCUUUUCCUUUUUUCUCUCUCACUCGCUCCAUUCAACAACUAUCUGUUGAGCUUGGUCUAGAAAGCAGAACUAGGAUUCUGGCCGUGCUGAUAAUACCUGCCCUCCCUGGCUUGCUCACUCUAUUUUGUGAGAAUCAAAUCAGGUCAGCUGCGACAGGAUUGUAACUGGUUAGUGUUGCACAAAUGGUGGGAAUUGUUACCACAGGUCAGGCCAUGUCCUAGGCCCCCAUCCUCAGGGAGCUCAGAGUCAAAUAAAAGCUGCCACUGGCAUCAAAAUCAAUACAAGUAAGUGAUUAAGGCCUGUGUUACGGGAAUUCAAAGAGAGUGGGACUUAAGAAUUUUUUCAGUUGGUAAGCAUUUAUUGAGCACCUACUGUAUACUGAGCACUGUUCUAGGCUCUAAGGAUAGAGUAAUGAAUUUGACAGUCCCAGUCCAUGACGUGAUAGAGGUGGACCCUUGGAGGAAAGACAAUCACCUGGUAAGUAAAGAUCGUGUCAGGUGGUGAUUAGAGGUGGAGAACACUCAGGGCAAGGGAAUAGGCAGGCAGAUUAGCCAAGUGGGGCAAGGGGAGGGCUAAUUUAGAAAGUAACAUUUGAUCACAGGGAGGCACAAGAACCAGAUAGGGCACAGACCCAAAGGGGACAGUCUCUGGUGUGUUCAUGGACCAAGGAGGCCCAUGGACUGGGCAGCCCAGUUUAACUAGGGGGAGAGCCCUGGAAGCUGAGGUCGGAGGGACACCAAGCAGUGACACGAUCAGGCCUAGGCUUGAGCAGGAUCAGGAGGUUGCUGUGUUCUGAAUGGACUGUAGGGGGCUAGGGCCGGUAGAAAGCUAUUUAAGGCAUGUUUUAUUUAUUUAAAAAGCACUUAAAUGGGGUUUCCUACGUGAUGAACACCGUUAGGCACUUUACAAAUAAUAAUUCACUUCAUCCUCAAAACAGAGGCCCGAACAGGUAAACUGAAAGUCACACAGCAGAGAGACGAAGGUGCCUACUACCCUGGGGACACAGUGGACGCAGCAAGGGAAGACCCCUUUCUGGAUGUUUGCUGAUGACCUGGCGGUGGGCACAGGAAGAAGAAAGGAGUCAGGAAUGAUGCUAAGAUUUUUAGCUUGAUCAACAGUGGAAGGGUACUGAAGGGCCCAAGACAUCCAGGUGAGUUCACUUAAGAGGUGAAUGUAGAGGAGAAGAGGUCAAGAAGAUAAAGAGGAACCAGCAAGGAGACUGAGAAGGAGUGACCUGGGAGGGUAGCAAGAGGACGAAGAGAAGGUGAUGUCCUUUUUUUAAUUUUUUUUAUUUUUAUUCUUGAGAGAGACAGAGAAAGACAGGGUGUGAGUGGAGGAGGGGCAGAGAGAGAGGGGGAGACACACAAUCCAAAGCAGGCUCUAGGCUCUGAACUGUCAGCACAGAGCUGGAUGCGGGGCUCGAACUCACGAGCCACGAGCUCAUCAGCUGAGCUGAAGUCAGACGCUGAACCGACUGAGCCACCCAGGCACUCCAGGUGGUGUCCCUUCUUAAAGGCAGGGGAUAAGAGUAUGAGGGAAAGGUUUAUGAUAGAAUAACACUUGAACUGUUUACUUGAAAAAAAUAAGACUGACAGGGAACCUUGCUGUUCCAAAUGCAUUACCUGUAUUUUCUCAUUUAAUCCUCAUACAACCCUGUGAGGUCAGUGCCUAUUAUUCCCAUUUCACAGAUGAGGGAGCUAAGGCACACAGAGGUUAAGAAACUUGCUCCAGACCACAUAGCUAAUGAAUUCAAAGCCAGGCAGUCUGGGAACAGAGCCCACAUCCGUAACCCUAAGUCUGAUCCUGUUGCUUCGCUGCUCACAAAGUUAAGUCACAUCUGGGGCACCUAGGUGGCUCAGUCGGUUGAGCAUCCGACUUCCACUCGGGUCACGAUCUCGCAGUUUCUGAGUUCGUGCCCUGCAUCGGGCUCUGUGCUGUCAGCACGGAGCCUGCUUUGGAUCCUCUGUUCCCCUCUCUCUGCCCCUCCCCUGCAUGCUCUCUCUCUC